AAUUCUCAACUCUAUUUGCUUUUGUGAAUAGAGCUUGGACUUGGAGGUUUAUUGCCGGUACCUGUGAUCGGCUCCUCUUGAAUGCAUUAGCUCGAACCUUUUGUGGAUCAGCUUAUCGGUGUGAUAAAAUGUCUACGCCGUUACUGUGAAGCAUAUUAUUCGGCUUCCAAUCGUCCUUCACGGGACAAUAACUUUGAC
rnacentral:misc_RNA from 2 species